AGUGGCCUUAAAUAACUUGAGUCGUGAGGAACUUAUGAAAGAAAAAAGACAAGCACACCACAAUCUUUGAUUGGACAAGACUCUGACUGAUUUGAUCAUUUCAACCACAAAUGAGUUUAUUUUAUUUAUUUCAUUAAUUAGAGAUGAAGAGACAUCUGUAUAUAUAUAUUUGUGAUAAAAAUGCCACAUACACCAGGGCAAUAUCCCCAAUUUGUAUUUUUCAAGUGUUAACAUUAAAAUAUUAUUAACCUCUCAUGUUAGAAUGAUAGUGUUUGCUUGUAGUUUCCUAUAUCAUAUGUUUAUGUUAUGCCAAAAAGUAAAUAUAGUGAGUGUCAAAAUGUGUCAAGUCCAGUGUGUCCCCACAUCUAGCUCUGCCCAAUCACAUGAAGGCAGUAAGAUUAAUCUGUCAACGCAAUUCUAAAGCCAUGCCCCUGCUGCAACUGUGGUCAUUAGGCUGCUUUCAACAGUCAUGUGUGGUAGCAGUAAUAGAGUAACAGAGCGCAAGCAGACCUCACAGCUGGCUUGAUGACCAUGUAUGUAUCCUAAAGUUGCAUUUGCCAUGGAGGUUAUUUCGUGUAAUAAUCUAAAAUCAAUUGAAAAAUACCAUUCUGUCGAGGGAACAAUGGAGUUUCUUACUUAUAGCCAUCUACAAAAGUUCUCUGCUAUCAUCGGCCUCAUCAGGGACGGGGACGACAGAGCCUACUGAGAGCUUAUUAAGGACUUUGUAGACCGGUGGCAGUGCAACCACCUCCAGCUCAACACCGGGAAGACCAAAGAGCCGGUGAUGGAUUUCUGCAGGCACAAACAACCCUGCACACAGGUGAACUCCCAGGGCUGCCUGCCCCCAAGUCCUCUUCUCCCAGAUUAUUCUGAGCCUAACAGCUACUGAUAGCUGCCAGCUGCAUUUCCAGCAGGCCCAAAGAACUUCUUCUCACAGAAGCAUAGAGUUCUCAACGGGUCGGGCCAGCCCGACAAACCCGACCGCUAUGAAGUCGGACACUCUCCACGUAAUGGGAACAGAAAGGGCUAAUAAGAGUGGAUGGUACAGAUAACACUUCAGUUGAACCUGUGUUGUCUGUUUGAAAAAUACAGUAGUUAACCACUUCUCUAUCAUCACCACAAGUAGGGUGACAGAACUGGGCAAUUUAAUGACGACAUCAUCAUCACAUAAUUGUAACACUGUACAUAUUAUCUGUUUAUUUUUACUUUUUUAAAUAUACUUACAUUGCACUAAUGCCUUGUACUUUUUACUUGUUCUUCUUACUCUAUUUAUGUUGUGUAAAUCACCGGAUGCUGCUAAAUUUCGUUGUACACUGUGCAAUGACAAUAAAAGGAUAUAUACGUCA